AAUGAACGCUGGCGGCGCGCCUAAUACAUGCAAGUCGAGCGAGAAGACGUAGCAAUACGUUUGUAAAGCGGCGAACGGGUGAGGAAUACAUGGGUAACCUACCCUCGAGUGGGGAAGUAACUAGCCGAAGGUUAGCUAAUACCGCGUACGCUCCUUGGACUUCGGUUCGAGGGAGGAAAGCGAUACCGUGGUAUCGCGCUCUUGGUUGGGCUCAUGUCCUAUCAGCUUGUUGGUGAGGUAACGGCUCACCAAGGCUUCGACGGGUAGCUGGUCUGAGAGGACGAUCAGCCACACUGGCACUGCGACACGGGCCAGACUCCUACGGGAGGCAGCA
rnacentral:rRNA from 1 species